rnacentral:rRNA from 1 species
CAGUCGCCGCGGGAAUACAGAGGGUGCGAGCGUUAAUCGGAUUUACUGGGCGUAAAGCGUGCGUAGGCGGCUUCUUAAGUCGGAUGUGAAAUCCCUGAGCUUAACUUAGGAAUUGCAUUCGAUACUGGGAAGCUAGAGUAUGGGAGAGGAUGGUAGAAUUCCAGGUGUAGCGGUGAAAUGCGUAGAGAUCUGGAGGAAUACCGAUGGCGAAGGCAGCCAUCUGGCCUAAUACUGACGCUGAGGUAUGAAAGCAUGGGGAGCAAACAGGAUUAGAUACCCCCGUAGUCCCUGUCUCUUAUAC